rnacentral:rRNA from 1 species
UACGUAGGGACCGAGCGUUGUCCGGAUUCAUUGGGCGUAAAGAGCUCGUAGGCGGCCACUCAAGUCGAAUGUGAAACCUCGAGGCUUAACCUCGAGCCUGCAUUCGAUACUGGGCGGCUAGAGUCUGGUAGGGGGAUCUGGAAUUCCUGGUGUAGCGGUGGAAUGCGCAGAUAUCGGGAGGAACACCUAUGGCGAAGGCAGCUCGCUGGGACGUUACUGACGCUGAGACGCGAAAGCGUGGGGAGCAAACAGG